rnacentral:lncRNA from 1 species
UCAUUCACGACCCUCUCAUCUUUUGCACAAGACUUAGGAGGAAUCAUGACUUUGCCCACUAGCCAUGCGACGGUUACAUGGAAGGGCAAGAGGAUGAUAACUAUGGCUUUGGCAGAUUCUCAGUUAAAACCACAAAGGGGCAAAUGGGGGAAGAACGAGAGAAAUGUUGAAUGGAGCAGAGGAAAACCCAUAGACAAGUAUACAAGAAUACCAAUUCUAG